rnacentral:sRNA from 1 species
AAAUUUUUAAAGGGUUUAAAAGUGUUUUGAAAAAUUUACAAGGGAUUUUAAAACCUUUUUAAAUUACUUGUAAAUUUUUUAAAACCCUUUUAAAAUCUCUUGUAAAUCUUUUAAAACUCUUUUAAAAUCUCUUGUAAAUCUUUUAAAACUCUUUUAAAAUCUCUUGUAAAUCUUUUAAAACAUUUUUAAAAUCUCUUCUUUUAAAAUCCCUUGUAAAUCUAAUUGCCGCCAAAAAAUAUUUACAAGAAUUUUUAAAAUCAUUCUUUUGGCUGAGGAAAAAAAUGUUACGAAAAAAAAAUUUGGCGGAAACUUUUUUUUGCCGGGAAAAAAACAUUUUGGCGCCAAAAAAUUGGCGGGAAAAGUUCACUUUCCAAUUACAUGUUUCUAUUAGAUGAGGGUAAUUUGGUUAUUUUGUUCAAGGAAAUGGGUAUUUUUAAAAAUGGACAACAUAAAAGGAUAUUGUUGGAAAAAUGUAGUAAAAAAUGGGUAGUUUUGCAAAUCUUUCAAAAAUAAAGAUCAAUAUAAGAUUCUUUCCGCUAAUAUUCAUCUUAUAUUUGUAUAGAAUAAUAUGGUUUUUGUUAAUUACGAGGGAACAAAAUCUACAUGUUAUGCGGGCGAUU